AUUGAACGCUGGCGGCAUGCCUUACACAUGCAAGUCGAACGGCAGCACGGGAGCAAUCCUGGUGGCGAGUGGCGAACGGGUGAGUAAUAUAUCGGAACGUGCCCAGUCGUGGGGAUAACGUAGCGAAAGCUACGCUAAUACCGCAUACGAUCUAUGGAUGAAAGCGGGGGAUCGCAAGACCUCGCGCGAUUGGAGCGGCCGAUAUCAGAUUAGGUAGUUGGUGAGGUAAAGGCUCACCAAGCCGACGAUCUGUAGCUGGUCUGAGAGGACGACCAGCCACACUGGGACUGAGACACGGCCCAGACUCCUACGGGAGGCAGCAGUGGGGAAUUUUGGACAAUGGGCGCAAGCCUGAUCCAGCAAUGCCGCGUGCAGGAUGAAGGCCUCGGUUGUAACUAGUCUUUGUACGUACGAACGGU
rnacentral:rRNA from 1 species